GAGGCCCUCUGGUUAAUGACCAAUGGCCGCACAAAUCGUCUCUUUUCUGCCAAUUAGGCAAAAAGAAGAAAAAAAAUAGUGUGGGCCAGCGGAGGAAUUUUAUCCGGGUAAAACCGCCGAGAAUGUGCGACAAGCUUCACGCGGAGAGAUGAUGGCGUUAGAGGCGGUGGUGUCGCGAGCAUGGACAUUUCCUCAUUGACCUUAUCUUCCCUUGAACUGCCACGUGUCCAGAUUUUAGAGAUGGAAAUACAGAGGCUGCAAACUCAAGUGUGUCAGAGAGAAGCUCUUGAUUACCAGAUACAAUGUUCCUUUUUCAGGUAUGCUGAAAGUACGGUAAACAAAGGGUAACCUGAGCGCUGCGGCACCACUGGUGUCCUGUUUCUAAAGCAGCAGUGAUGAGUCUCAUGUCCAUUGCAAAGAACAGCAUUUGGGUUUUAUCUUUGUUUUGUGACAAAAAGGCAAAGCUUGUCUUUGUGGAUGGCAACAAAAGUUAAGUGAAUCUGAUUCAACUUUAAAUAAACAAGAGUGCUUU